rnacentral:lncRNA from 1 species
GCUCUCACUGCAGCCGUUUCUUCACAGGGUGAUCCUCACAGAAACACUCAAAGCCUUCUGUUACGUACAAAGGACCGCGUGUCAGUAAUCUACAGCCAUUUACCAGUUACCAAGAAAACACGGACGUUUCCACUAAAAAUCGCAAACGUUUCUUUCAAGCAAGGAGCGCCCUGCGCCAGAGGCUGUGGGAGGAGUGAGGAGUCUGGGUUCGUUCCAGCCGCAAUGCUCCCAAAUCCUGUGGUUUGCCCCGGUGUGCCACAGACUUUUCUGUUUCUGUGUGUGCCAUGGUAAGGAAAUGUUAAGAAGUCCUGGACCACACCACAGAAGCCAGACCUCGCCUUGUGCCCGGCCCCUGCCCACCUUCCCUGCACCCUGGUCCCGCCUUGUGCCCGGCCCCUGCCCACCUUCCCUGCACCCUGGUCCUGCCGUGGGCUUCCAGAGUCCUUUAACUCAGGACUGGCUUCCCAGAAGUCCCCCCACCCUGCCUCUGACCUGGGUGCUCAGGUGCCCAUCACAUGCCACCCUCAACAGGCUCUCUGAAGACAAGCCUGUGGGUCAUGAUUUCCCGCUCCCCCAGCUCGUGCUGCACGGCAGCUCAGCAGCAGGUCUGCUCCUCUGUGCUGAACUGAAGGGAGCCGAGUGCUCGCCCUCCGUCCGGGCCGGAGCUCAGAUCGUCCUGCCUCACGUACAAGAAGUAACCAGUUCUUUGGCCUUCAGACUCCCUGUUUCACUGGAUGAGGACAGCUCUGUGCCAGAGAAUGAGCUGGGAUCUGCCCUGACAAGUGGAGCCUCGUUUGAAAGUGUCGGUAACAGGCUCUGUGUCUGAACCAAAGUUUCCCUUGCAACCUGGUGUGGCUGCAUGAUGGAGUUUGGGCCGUGACAUAUGGUGGGUUUGACGUGUGCCACUCUUAGGGCCAACUUCUAAAGCCUCCAAGACACAGCCCCAUGCCCUGUGCCCUUCUGCAGCUCAGAGCAGAUGAGCCCAGUGACCUUGAGGCCCUUGAAGAUGGUGGAACCAGGAGACAUGAGGGGCCUUGGCCUGGAAACACAACUCGAAGGGAAAUCACUCAUCUGGAAAACGUGUUUGGACCCAUACCACACCGUGGCAAAUACCUGGUAAAACUGUCAUCUGAAAUUGCUUGGAAAUAGGACACUACCACCUAAACCCACAGCUCGUAGGCCAGGGCACCUCAACUGUAGUCCCCAGACCAGCAGCAUCGGUGUUACCUGGAAAAUUAAAAAUGCAAAGUUUUGGGCCCACUUCAGACCCCAGGUCAGAAAUUGUGGGUUGCAGAAAUCUGUGUUUUAAUAACCCUUCAGAUGACUGUGGUGCCCGACAAAGUUGAAAUGCCUGCUCCCAUGUGUGCUGGGUUUAGUUUGUGCUUUAGCAAAGCGGGAUAAGAAAGAAAGGAGGCCAGGAUGGAAUUCGCUGGUUUCCAACUAGAAGUGACAGAAAAUAGAAAGAGUCCAGUAAUGUGAGGUCUUGAAGUGUUGGGAGAAUUCAUUCAUCACUUCUAGAUUCCAGACAAUCAGAAAUAAAAUUUUAAAAGUCUUUCAAUGACAAACUAAGACUUCUCAGUUGGGAAAAAAAAAAAAAAAGGACUCAGUCUUGUUGCAGACAUGAGAUGAAGAGUGUGGUCUUUUCACAAAUGCCUGUGCAAGGGAGUCAAGGACAGAAGCCAUCCGGUGGGCUCCUUGGCACGGGGGCGGCUGAAGCAAACCAACCAGGAGCCCACGCAGCUGUCAAGGGCUUGUGUCAGCAAGUAAAGCCUAGACUGCUUGUGACUGUGAAGUGUAAAAGUGCCCCUGGGUCCUCAGGCCUGUGGACAGGACAAAGCCAAAGCCGCCCAGCGCCGUGUGAUGCGGCCACAGAGAACACGAGCCUCGGGAGAGAGGAGCCUGGGGCUGGAAAACAAGGGUGAAGGACGCUCCCCUCUGGCUGCAGGAGAGGGGCUGCUGAGGGCAAGAUCCAUCAUUUCUUGGGACCAAUGAUGCUGCUUCCUACUCUCUGCUUUCUGCCUGGGAGUUUUGUCUGGGACGCCUGUGUCUGCCCCACUCACUGUGUGGUGCAAGCUCCAUUUCCAGUGAGGACAACCGUGGCUGCCGAGAGCACCUUACAAGCCAGGCAUCCUCCUCUGAGCUCAAGGCAGCCUUGAGAAGUGGGACGAAGACUUCCUUCACGGGAAGAGGAGCGGCUCAGAGAAAGGAAGAGGCUAGUCCAGAACCACCACGUGGACAUCUUCUGUGAAGGCCCUGGGGUGAAGGGCACAGGUGGGAUUCAGAAUAGAAAUGACUCGAGGGACGCAAGGAGUUGGGAUCAGAAGAAGCAGCAGAAACUCCUGCUCUGCAGACACAGCAGACAUUACUGGGAAAGACACCAGAGACCCAGGAGUUCACCCAAGUCCUCUGCACACUGUCUUCCCAGCCCUCUCUCCUGGAUCUGAGAUGAUUUCACUUAAAAACACAAGCCUUUGCUUAAAGGUAGAUGAACAUUCCUUUCAGUUUCUAAGAUGGGGGGCCCACGGUCCUAGGCGCUGAGUCAGAAACUUUUUAGAUGUCCCCAGAGUGCACAGGUUUAAGGACAGAGGGAGAUUCUCAGUCUUCCUGGGUCCUCCCUGUCUCUCAGCCCAGUCAUCACACUCUAAAUCCCAGGGACUUGACUCUGCCUUCCAAUAGUUCUCAGAUCCACCUACUUUGCUCCCUUCUUUCAGAGCGCAGGUAGCCACUUGCUCUCCCAGAGAGUGCUGCAGCGGUGAUGAUCGGUUUCCCCCCUCCCCACCUGCUCAGUCCUGCAAAGCCUGGACUCUGCUCCAAGGCCUUUGGGACCCAACACCUGCUUUCCAGCCUCAGGGCCUCAGGCCUGAGACCACAGGGGCUCUUCCCGGCGGCUGUACCUCCUGCCAUUCACCUGCUGAUUUCUUCCUCAUCUGUUUAUUCCUCUGAUCCAACAAGGUCAGGAUGGUAUGCAACCGCCACCCCCCCCCCACUGCCCCCACCACCACAGCACUGCCACGACCCUUGUCUGGGACGGAUGAUGUGGGGCUGCACUUCCUCUGUCGGCCCCCUGCCCUCGUCAGGAGGCCCAGCAUGUAGCAGGCAAGCAGCAGGCAGCAGGCAGGUGCUGAGUGGGUGUGGAAGGUGUGGCCCCUCACACCUCUGUGUCCUAUGCUCAGCGCUGUGCUUGGGCAUGGCGAGGCCUCAGCAGAUACUGUGCAGCACAGUGACACCAAUGGAACCCAGUAAAAAGACAGUUUCCAAUUUUCCUCGCUGCUGGGGCCCACCCAGAUCCUGGAGCAGAGCAUGGCCUGCAGGAAGCACAGGCUGGUGGACUGUGGCUGUGUCACGGCGAGCUUCCAGUGGCUCUCGCAGAACUCAAUUGGCACGGUAAAGGGACAAAUGAAGUUUCCAGCUUUUUUCUUUUAAUAGCUCAGAUAUCAAUUUUAUAGCUCUGAUGGACAUAAUUUAUAAAAUAAGUCUAUAUCUUACUGUAAAUUUGAGACGGUUAACCUUUAAUAAAGUUAAUAAGGGGCUUGUCAAAACUCCUGAGCUGAACUUUGCUUGCUCGUUACAUAAUAACAACGAAGUGAUUUUAACCUAAACUGCAGCUAUUUUGGCCAUUUAAAGGUGAGGAAAGAGAGGGGAUGGGCAGGAAAAGUAGUUUUUCCAUCGUCCUGGAAGAACUGCCAGGUGAAGGUGAUGGGGAGGCUGGCGUUUUAAUUCCUCUAAUGGCUCAGAUCAGCUGCACCUGGGUGUGUGUCCCUUGCUCAUCAGCGCACGCUGGCGGGCCUGCGGAGGCACGAGGUGUCUUUAAGCCGAGAGCAGGAAGCAAAGUUUCUGGAAAAACUGAGGGGCGCAGGGAGCACGGACUGGGUCUUCAGGAGCAGUGUGGCUGAGCUGUGGAAAUGGACACAUCCACUGUCCCAGAUAUUAUGAAAAUGAACCCCUCACUCUGAGCUCUUUCGAGAGGAAUCCUCAAGUAUGGAGCCCAAAGAAAAAGGGCUGUGUCCAUGCCUGGGCUGGGCUCUGCAAGAAUGCACAACAAAUCACCACCCCAGACAAACACUUCCAGGCACCUCCCGACAUACUCCUAAACACUUCCCCAGGCACUCCGGGCGCCUCCCCACACACUCCCAGGCGCCUCCCCACACGCUGCCAGGCGCCUCCCCACAGACUCCCAGGCGCCUCCCCACACGCUCCCAGGCGCCUCCCCACACGCUCCCAGGUACCUCCCCAUGGUCCCAGCUACCUCCCCACAGAUUCCCAGGCGCCUCCCUGCACGUUCCCAGACACCUUCCCAGGCGCUGCCAGCCUCCUCCUGCGCACAGAUCGGGAGGUCCCUGGACUUCCACUUGUUGAGCUGGACUCAAGCCGGAUCGCCUGGAGGAUAUUCUCAGGGCACAGCGGCUGCCUGCGCCUGAGCAGUGCUGAGGAGAUGCCAAGGUCAGGCAUCAGCUUUCAGAGAAUGCAGCUGCGUCAGAGAUGGAGACACGCAGAGCCACGUGUCGUGGAGAAUCUAAGGAAGUUCGCUGGCGCCAGCAGCGGGAAAAGGCCCUGGCUUGAUGAGGGGAACUCGCAGCCUUGCAGCGCGGGUGGGAGCCCCGGGCGGAACCGCAGAAGCAUCCCCGGCCGUGGGGUUUUCUCCUCCAGCUGGAGACGUGGAGGGAGUGGAGCAGAGAUGAGCUGUGAGCUCAGCAGUUCACACAGGACGGGAUGGGGGAGGAGAACCCAGGGAUGGGAGAGAUUGGAGAACAAGGAGCUGCUGGGUCUCAGCCUCGUGUAGACGACAGGGCCUGUGGGGAUGGCCACGCGUGAAUCUGGUCCUGGCGGGGAGCGUCCGGCGCGAUGGGAGGGACCUGCAGCCAGUGAUCCUCCCGUGGCAUCGCUUCUAGAGUUGAGAGGAGAAAGCCAGUAGCUGCCGGUCUCUGGUGGGUCUCACAGAUGCUGGAGCAGGUGUAGGAGGAAGCGCCUCCAGCAGGAGUGACACCCCCAUGCCGCCCAGGAAGGUGUCGCGCCUGUUAGGAGGGAAAGGACUCAGGAUGUGCGUUGCAUGGGGUUGUGAGUGAGUCAGUGGCAGCCCCCCCGCCUCCUCCUCCUGCUUUGACCUGAUGCAGGAUGGACUCAGCACCCCGCCGAAGGCACUCCCAUUCCCCUCUGCAUAUGGUUUUCAUCAUGUGGACCUUCAAUAGCUAUUUUUGAUUGAUGGGUAUUCAGUGGGAUUCAACAUCCGUAAACGUUCUGACCCAAGUCCUGUUGAUCAAUGGCGUCACCGCACGGCCUUUUUGACCCAAGUCUGCACCAUUCUGUCUUUCCUGGAGUCACCCUUCGAGUGCUCUAUGUGACCGUGGCCUCCUGCGGAGUCUGCCCUUGGCUCACGGCUGGACAGACAUUGGCUCUUGGCGUCUCUCAUGUUGGUCACCCCUCCAGCUGCUCUGCAGCAACAAUGCCCCUUUCCAUUCAUAGAAGGUCGUUAUCGUGCUUGCACUCGGGACUGAGUUCACAUUGCCUUCUACCUGCCAGAGAAGCUCUGAGCUCCUGGAGGAAUGUUCCUUUUCUUCUGAUGAAAAAUGACGAGGUGAACCCCUCGUGCCUCGGCGUAAUGUGGUCAUCAGAGGUCGUGAGAAGAGCACAGAAAUGCGUGUUUCUCAUAAUCGCCUGGAUGCUAAUCACUGCGUCAAAACCUCCCGUGAGCCGCUUUCUCCACAGAAUGGAGGUGGCCGGGCGCGGUGGCUCACGCCUGUAAUUCCAGCACUUUGGGAGGCCGAGGCGGGUGGAUCACGAGGUCAGGAGAUCGAGACCAUCCUGGCUAACACGGUGAAACCCCGUCUCUACUAAACAUACAAAAAAUUAGCCGGGCGUGGUGGCGGGUGCCUAUAGUCCCAGCUACUCUGGAGGCUGAGGCAGGAGAAUGGCGUGAGCCCGGGAGGCGGAGCUUGCAGUGAGCUGAGAUCGCGCCACUGCACUCCAGCCUGGACGACAGAGCGAGACUCCGUCUCAAAAAAAAAAAAAAAUGGUGGAAAUGCCCCUUCCUCUAACUGCAGCUGUGCACAUCCCCCUGGGGACAGACCCAAGGCGCCUUGAGAUGCUGAAAGGCGUUCUCUGUGUUCUGAGUGGAAGUACAGCCUGGAAAGUCCACGGAGACUCUGCUCUGAGUGAGCCGAGCUGGACAGAGGGGCUUUUGAGUCAAAGUUUUCUCCUCCUUGCACUUUGCCAGAAAAUCUCAAUUGCUAGUGAGGAAUUCUUUUCCUUUCUUUCCCUAACGAAGUGAGUGAUGAGACUGGCUCUUUUGCAUAUUUGCAGGGAGUAAGCAUUGUCUGGAUUUUCACUGAGUUUACCUCAGCAACUUUUUAAAAACUUUACUCCAAAGGGAGCCAAUGUGCCCUUCCUUUGACGUAGAAAACUAUUAUUUUAAAAUUCUGCCAUUCGGCAUUACUCUGAUUUUUCUGAAUAAUUAGACUCAAAACACUCUGGUUUAUUCCCAUCUCAAAGGUCUUAGGGCAGUGGAUGCCGCCUUUGCUUCUGUUUGCUGCAGCCUGUUUGAGUGGCAGGCUCUUUGCCCUCGUUGGCCAGUCCCCACAUUCUGGUGACGCUUUUCUCCUGCCUCUUGGCCCCCAGUCACAUUUUCCAUGGUGACUCUUUCAACCUCAGCCUUCACGUUUCAAGUCAUGCAUCCACUUUGUUUUCCUGUUUCAGUAGACCCCCCUCUGAGUUUACUGAGCACUUUGAGACCACUUGGUACCAGGGCACAGCCUCCUCAUCUCCAAACGCAUGGGUUCCAUCACAAGCGGGCCUGAUCGCACAUGGCAGCUCUCGUCUCCCAGUUAUUGCAUGCACAUGUGUGUUUGGCCAGGUUGGCUUUAGGUUCAUUAAAGGCAGUGCCUUUUCUUCAUGUUUUAUUUCUCUCCAUCUGCAAUGUGUUGUGGAGUGGAGGCACCGUCCGUUCACGCACUCAGGCCUUCAGAACGUAGCUCCCGAGUGCUUGCUGUGGGCCCCAUUCCACCUGCUGGCUGAGUGGUGAACAAAGCUCAAGGAGCUGCCUCCUCCAAGCGAAGGGAGGACACCAGGCACAACAGCGUAGAGUGUGGAGUCAGGAGCGUUUGGAGAAAAGCAAACAGGAAAGGGAGAUAUAAGUGACAGCCACCUGGUGGUCAGGAGAACAAACUGCCGCCGUGUCUCCACACCCUGUGUGUCCUGAACACCGCUGGGAAGCCGUCAGCAGACGCUCCGCAGGCCACCGGGGCGAUCGGGGCACUAAAGGCCAAGCAGGCUUCACACACUGCCAAAGUCCAGGUGACCAGAGAGUAUGACCGGACACAAAGGAUGCAAUUGUAGAAACUGGUUGGUUGUUUUACCAAGGCUUUGACUGGAAAGUUGUGCUUCCCUUUAAAGAAUCAAGCUUGAUAUGCAGACCCAAUAAAAGCCCCUUGAGAAAACUGGCCUUCAUACCUUGUCAACACAGUCCUGUAUAGGGUUCUUAACCUGUGGUGAGUAAAGAAUGUCACUUUCUAAUAGGCCCAGGAGCCCCAUGUUAUCUUGAAACCUCCGUAAGAGGAAGUUACCCAACUCAUAGGUAUUUGAGGGUAAAAACCCAUGGCUGGGCUCGACUUUAAAAAGUCCUAUCUGAGAUUCUUUGUGGAACAGAGCUCCAUCAAAGCCAAUUUUAAAAGCUUAUGUGAAAAAUAAUUAUUCUUGCUGCACUUUAUGCAAAUGAUCAGUCCAAGUGGAAGACUAAAGUUUAUUUUGCAAACAACUCAGUCCUAUCAUGAUUUGUUUUUGACAAAAAUAAGACUAAAGAGAGAGAAAUUAUGUUUCAAAACUCACCAUAUAGUAGUCAUUAAAUUCCAAUGUCAUCAGUUGUUUUUAAGUUUUUGCUUACAUUUUAGACUAACCCUGCUUAUUCCUGUGAAGCAAACAGUGAUCUCUGGCUGCAGUUCAGAAGAAAGAGAAGGGAUGGGUAAUGCAAAAAUCUGGACCAAUAUUCUAGUUCUAAUUAUUGUGCAAAUCCUGCCAGGUGAUGGGAGUAAAUAGGGUGCCUAUAACCCAGAGGUUUCCUUUUUUGGGAAGAUAAGACCAAGGGAGCUAACCAAAGCUGAGUCCCAUGCACUUAUAUCUUAGCAGGCUUAACUAUAACCACUAGUUAUCCAUGCAUGCCAGCAGCCUUGGUAUUUUUGAGCUGUCCUUUACCCCUUGUUUCAUUUUGAUUCAUGUCCUCUAAUAACUCAGUUUGUCUCUUUUCACCUUCAAGCCAUCAAACUCCAAAUGCUCAUAUAACCGGAACCUCGGACAAUGGUCCCUUCUUCCGGGGACCCUUAGAUAGGCCUCGGAGGAAGCUCUGACUACUGUUUCCCAAAACAGCACCCUCCUGUCAGCAGGAAGCAGUGAAGACUGGUCUUUGUCCUUAUCCUCAUCCUUAUCCGAAUGGCACUUAGAUGUACUUCUUUAGAAAUUGGGCAUGACAGCAGCAGGAGGCAGCCAAUGCCCAGGCAGAUGGGGUGGGUCCCCAGUGAAACCCCACCUCCAAGCAAAAGACAGUUUAAAGCCUGAAAGCCAAGCUACAGGUUAAAUCUUUGGAUCAGAUUGAGAACUUGUCUUCCUGUUUGGCACGCUUUCCUCUGAUUGGUCCCCACCCUUCACCUAUUUUACAUUUACCUACCCUUUCCUAAUUGGUUUUUCUAUGCUGUCAUGCCCACCUUUGAGUGGUGUCUUCCUUUAACCUUUUUUGGAUUCUCACAAACCAAUCAGCAUUCACUCCCCAUUCUGAGUCCAUAAAAGGCCCCGGACCCAGCCAUAUGGAGGAACUUACCCACCUUGGGUAGGAAGACCAACCCCACAUCCCCCCUCUACUGAGAGUUAUUUUCAGCACUCAAUAAUAUUCUUUUCUGCCCUUCUCAUCCUUCAAUGUGCAGAGUAUCCUCAUUCUUCUUGGGCAUGGUACAAGAACUCAGGAACCACCAAACAUGAUACAAGCUAUAACACAGGCCAGUUGGGGCAUGCCAGCAUGGCCGAGUGGGACCCAGGUGGAGCACUGCCAGCUGGGGCUCCCUGCUCUGCAACGUGACUGAGAAUAAAAAUCCUACAUUGGUUUUACGUAACAGAAGGUGAACAUCUGAUAAGAAAGGGUGACAAAAGGAAAAGUCAACCAUGCAGAUGUCUCUGGGUAUGUGGGGGAGUGACUGGUCUCACCUUGACUUUAUUCUGCACCUGGGCAGGUGGGUUUGUAAUUGACACGACCAGUGUGCAACUGAACAGACUUUAGUUUUAGGAGCUGGACUUAGACUGCAGUCCUAAAGUUUCAAUUGGCCUGUCCUCAUUCAUGAGAGGCCAGCAGAGAAUUCACGCAGGGAUCAUCUGUGUGGGCAGCUUUUCCAGAUGCCUGAGGCCUUUCCCAUUCUCUUUGGGUCUGGCUGAUACAUGAUGUUAGUGACAGUCAAUUCAUUUGGAAGAGGGAGUGCAAUGACUUUCCCUUUUGCAUAAGAAGUUUUGGGGGUACUGAGAUUUUUAGUUUCCUUUACAAGACCUUCCCGCAAAUAAGUACAAGAGGACCCAGAGUGUGGGGUGUCUGGCUGUCUGAGCAGUUGGGCCACUGACGCUGAGGACAAUGUGAGAAAGCCUGUCCUGGUGGAAGGGAGAGCAAAGGUGGAGAGAAAGGAAGCUCCAUGUUAGUUUUUGAAACACACCACAGCUGAAGGUCAGUCCCCAAAGCUGGUUAUGGUUGAAAGGGAGGAAAAGCUGCUCCCACGUGGCUCUGGCUGAGGCUUCCGAGACUCUGCAGGUGGGGGCCGUCUGUCUUCCCCAGGUGGGAGCUACUUCUUUUUAGAAGCAGGCUCCACGGCGGUUUUCAGGUGUGGCCUUGCCCAGCGUCCCGAUGUUUUGCUUCCUGCCUGGCCUCGGCGCUCUUUGAUGACCUCCUCUUGCCACACACUGUGGUCUCCAUAGGCUGCCCACUGCUGAUCCGAGGCUGGUGGCCCCCAGCACACGUGGGUUUCUGAGGAACACGCUGAGACUCUCGGGCCAUGCCGUGACACAGGGGAGACAGCGUCUGCUCUUUUUCCAUUUUUGUUCGUUUUCAGUGCUCUGACCCUCAGGAAGCCCACUUAAGCAUCCCAGAAUCCAGACGGCCGUGAACAAAGCUGCUGUGGUUUGGGGCUGCAAAACUGGCCCACAGCCCACCUGGAUAACUGAAUCGAACAUGCCUCAGCCGCCCUCACCACAGGCACCAUCCCCCUCACAGAAGUUUGAUGUCUGAUCAUUCAGCACUGGCUGAGCCUCAGAGCUAAAAUGGAAAAUGCAUUUUAUGAGCAGAUAACACAUUUUUGGAAUGGCUACUUUAAACAUUGUGGAUACAGAUUCACAGAGACUAUUUUUAGAUGAAUUAUUUCUUCUAUUUACCAUACUGAUUUGCUGGAAGAAAGAAAAACAAUAUUUUAAAAAGGGAAAACAUUCUUUAAAAGCAGUGACUCUAAAUUUCCCCUGAAGAGCAAAAUGCUGUCUGUGUCUCACUCAAUGUGGUGGCUGCUACAGGAGGAUCUUCCCAGGCCUUCUCAGGGAAUUCCCAUCAGGAUCACAGGAAUGGUACCUGGCAGACACAACCCAGUCUGCACCUUCCAUGGGCCACAGCUGAUGGUACGAGGAGAGGUGUGACAUCUGCCUGACCUCAGAAAUCUAAAUCAUUCCUUUUGCAACAAAACAAUAACAGUGGAGUGCGUUCCCUGAGUUUUUGGAGAGAAAAGAAAAAUAAAGUUCAGAGGCAAAACUUGGUAGAAAUUCUGAAGCCUGGAUGACAGUGAUGACUCCGCGCAGCAGGAACGUCGCGGGCCUUGCCUGGCCACGUCCUCUUGGCUGGAGGCAUGAGUGUUUAUGCCAGGCUGAAGAAGUCACUUGAACUCAUGUCCUUUGACUGAACAUUUUUUAUGAGACCUGCAUAAAUCAUUUCUUUAAAAAUGGCAUCCUGGGCAUGGAGGCAGUCUGCUUUUUGCAAGAAUUCUUAUGGGCAAAGUCUCUUCAGAUGAGAAUGAUUCUGCUUUAAUUCCCUCUGCCUUCUGCCCUUGGGUAAGCUCACUGUGUCUCCUUAAACACUCUGGCUUUAACCAGUUUCUGCGUAUCAUUCAGACCAACAUUCCUCUCAGUUAUCAGUCAACUGAGAGACUGAGAAAUAAAGUCAAUAGAAUGAAAAGAAAAUAGUCAUAUACAGUAAGCUCGAUUUUCUUCCUACCGCUUCCUCAUAUCUUUGCCAAGUCAAACCAAACUACCUCCUUCUAGAAAUUUGUCUUAUAAAUUAUCUUCAUGACCUUCAGGAAGCUAAUAUAUUUUAAGGUGUACAAAGCACUAAAAAUACUGAUUAAAAGAUCAAUUGGACUUCAGCAGAAUUUAGAACUUCUGUUCAUCAGAUGACAACCUUAAGAAAGUGAAAAGAUAAGUGCUUUCAUUAGUUCCCACAACACAGGAGGAAGCCCUAGAAAAUCAAUCAGAAAAACACAAUCCAAUUUAAAAGCUGAGCAAUAGCCUGUGUGGGCACUUCACAAAACGGGAUAUCCCAAUGGCCAGGGAGCUAUGAGGAGGUGAUCAAGAUCAUUUGUUUUCAAGAAAAUGAAAAUUAAAUCCACAGUGAGGGAGAAUUGCACACUCACCAGGAUGCGUAAGGCUAAAGAGACUGAAAAUGCCAACUUCUGGGGAGGACUUGGUGAUGAGAACUCACCUAUUGCUCUGGGAAUAUAAAGUGGUUCCACCAUUCUGGAAAAAUUCUUCAGCAAUAUUUACUAAAUUUAAAGAUAUGCCUAUCCUAUGACCCGAAAUCCUGCUCCUAGCUCUAACUAUGGGAAAUGAGUGGCGCAGUCCACAAAAGGACAUGUGCAAGAACAUCCAUAGCAGCUUUAUGCACAGUAAAUCCAAACUGGACACAACCCAAAUGCUCAGAACAAGAGAAGAAAUAAAUACAUUUUUAUAGCCUUGCAAUGGAAAACUAUAGUGUGAUAAAACAAUAAACCACGAGUGUACCAAGAAUAUUGAUGUUUGUUUCACAACAAACAUGUGCGUGAAAGAAGCCAGACACAGAAGAGUUCCCACUGUCUGGUUCCAUUUCCACAAAGUCCAAAACAGACACAACUAACUGAUAAUGACAAAAAUCAGAAGACUGGUGAUCUCCAGACGGAGGUAUAGACUUAAAAGGGGCCAAGGGAAAAUAAGGGGAAUAUGAACCCCACUCAAAGGUUUCACACACAAAGAGGCAGAGUAGAUACAGAGUGAAUAAAUACAUUAUUUUCAUGUGCAUACAAUAGAUCAAGUAAUAAAAUUCUGAGAGCCGCACAUAUGUUAUUUAGUUCAUACAAAAACCCUGGGUUUAUUCUGAACCCACCUAUGAGAUCACAUGGAGAGACUGGCUCCACCUGUGAGAUCACAUGGAGAGACUGGCUCCACCUGUGAGAUCACAUGGAGAGACUGGCUCCACCUGUGAGAUCACAUGGAGAGACUGGCUCCACCUGUGAGAUCACAUGGAGAGACUGGAUCCUGAAACACAAGGGUGUGCUGCAUUUCUGGAUACCAUCGCAGACCUUUGCAAGCAGUUCCAUGAAACAAGAAAGGAGCAUUAGGAUCAAUGGCAUGAGAUUUAAUUAAAUUUGCAUUGGUUUUUCUACGUUGACUUUCACUUUGCAACCAAAGAACACCAUUCUCCCUGGCAUUGUGGUAAUUUAAAAGUGCCGGGGAGGUGUGGCUCACUAAGCUAAA